GCAGCCGUGGCCUACUGGUUAGCGCUUCGGACUGAUGACCGGAGGGUUGCCGGUUCGAACCCCGACCAGGGACU
rnacentral:tRNA from 1 species